GCAUAUCAAUAAGCGGAGGAAAAGAAACCAACAGGGAUUGCCCUAGUAACGGCGAGUGAAGCGGCAACAGCUCAAAUUUGAAAUCUGGCGCAAGCCCGAGUUGUAAUUUGUAGAGGAUGCUUCUGGGCAGCGGCCGGUCUAAGUUCCUUGGAACAGGACGUCAUAGAGGGUGAGAAUCCCGUAUGCGACCGGCUUGCACCCGUCACGUAGCUCCUUCGACGAGUCGAGUUGUUUGGGAAUGCAGCUCUAAAUGGGAGGUAAAUUUCUUCUAAGGCUAAAUACCGGCCAGAGACCGAUAGCGCACAAGUAGAGUGAUCGAAAGAUGAAAAGCACUUUGGAAAGAGAGUUAAAAAGCACGUGAAAUUGUUGAAAGGGAAGCUCACGCAACCAGACUUGUCGGCGGUGUUCCGCCGGUCUUCUGACCGGUCUAUUCGCCGCCGGCAGGCCAGCAUCACUUGGGAGCGCCGGAUAAAGGCGUGCGGAAUGUAGCCCCUCGGGGCAUUAUAGCCGCGCGCACAAUACGGCGCCUCCCGAGUGAGGUCCGCGCUUCGGCUAGGAUGCUGGCGUAAUGGUUGCUUGAGGCCCGUCUUGAAACACGGACC
rnacentral:rRNA from 1 species